AAAAUCCUCAAUCGAAUUUGCCUGAAUAUGUUCUCUGGUUUGUUUUCUCAGCUCUCGGCUGUUAGUGGUCACUUGCCGGCAAUGAUGCAGCAGGAGGAGGAGACGGUUGCCAUGGUGAAGACACUCACAGGGGGUGGGUUCACAGGGACGAGUCGAGUGUUGGAGGGCGGAUGAUUGAUAUGGCGGGCUGGCAGCUUUGGUACAACGUGGAGCAGAGAGCGAGCGGUGCCGGGAGAUGAUAGAGGCUUGAGGAGGCCCAGAGUCUGCAGCCAUGCCUGAGCAACGCAGAGCCACAGCUCCCCCUACAGGUCAAACUACAAAAGACAACAACAGGCAGGUAAAUGGGCAAAUUGAUGUUUCACAUCAAUCCAAGUGUGUUUAAGCUUUAGUUUCAGAAAUGGUUGUUGAGUUGUUGUUUGACUUGCCCCAAAACGCAACACUUGAUGUUUUGUACUGGUAUAUUCUCGCCCAUAUUUCUCUCAUCUCUCAUCCUUCAUCAAAACUAAAGUCAUCAAAUAGUAAUCUUGGGAAAUAGGAAACUGUGUCAUAUACUGUAAAUGAAAAAAAUAAGAGUGCAAGACUGCCCUCAUGUGGAAAA